rnacentral:lncRNA from 1 species
CUGGUACACUGGGGUAAAUCAGUGUGGUGGUGGAAGAAAAGCCGGGAGGCCUAUUUUUAUAGGAAAAUAGUACCAUUAAAGGUGCAAUGCUGUCAUUUUGGACAAAAGGAAAGAAAUUUGGAAGAGCUGGGAUUAUUGGCAAAAACUUGCUGAGGGGUGAAUCUUUAGAGCUAAUCACUGCAGAAUCAGAGUUGCAGCAAUAUGAUUGCAAGCAAGUCUGAAUGCAUAGUUUUACUUUAAUUCGGCUUGACAAUUUGAAUAGGUAACCCCCUCGGGACUGACUGAAUCGUUAUGCAUGUGUCAAUCAAUGGGAGGUGUGCAUUCUCUAGAAGUAGUUUUAGGCUGUUUGGUUUGGUUUUGGUUUUGUUUUUUAAAUGCAGCCUGUUGAGGCACUGUCAUGUGGUGUGAAAGAUUUAAAUGUAGCAACGCUAAAGAGUAAUAAUUUGGGGAUAAGAAGUGGGGACAUUGGCCGGGCGCGGUGGCUCACGCCUGUAAUUCCAGCACUUUGGGAGGCCUAGGUGGGCGGAUCAGCUGAGGUCGAGAGUUCGAGGCCAGUCUGACCAACAUGGUGAAACCCCAUCUCUACUAAAAAUACAGAAAAUUAGCUGGGUCUGGUGGUGGAUGCCUGUAAUCCCAGCUACUCGGGAGGCUGAGGCAGGAGAAUUGCUUGAACCCAGGAGGUGGACGGUGCAGUGAGCUAUUACUCCAGCCUGGGCAACAAGAGCGAAACUCUGUCUCAAAAAAAAAAAGGGGGGGGGGGGACAUUAAGAGAGUGGUGAUGACCCAAAUGUUGAACCAAUUAUGUUUUGGUGGUGGUGUUCUUAGCUGUUGAAUCCUGAAUGGUUUAUAAAGUGAACUAGCUGGCUUAAUGCAGCCAGCGUUCUGGGCAGCAGAACAUAUUCAUUCUUACUGUAAAUUCUAUUUGCUGCUUCCAAAGGUGAUGAUUUUCAAGCAGACAUGUUCUAUAUGGUCUGUGUUUUAGGAUCUGGUGCCCAGCCUCUAUCAGAGCUUGCCUACCUGGCAAAGCUGCCUACCCUUCAAGUGGGAAAAUAUAAUCCACUGUUUAACAAGGCUCACCCUCUCCACCCUGUCCUAACGACCUUUUGUGAAUGUGCUGUGAUAUUUUCUUGCUCAAUAGCAAGGUGGUAGCUCUGCUUUCAUUUUAAGAAAGUGGAGGCUGAGGGCAUUGUAUCAAUACUGUUGCAACUCCAAGAAGUUUUCCUUGUAAAAUUAAAGGAAAGAUCUUGUUAUUGAUUAACCAUUUUCUUAUGCCUUGCUAUUGACAUAUUCAUGCUCUUUCUACGUCUAGUGGCUGAAAAUGUUUGCAUUUGUUCAUUUGACUAAUGGUGUGAUUUUUGUUUCUAUAUUAUUAGACCUGUAAUGUUUUAAAAUGUAUUUUAUUAAAUUUGGACUGGAUGUAUGUCUCUAGCAAUACGAGGUACUUUCUAAACUAUUAAGGGAGGGGUUGUAUCCUCAUGUUGAGAUAAGAUGAUGGUCGUUUAAAUUUUGCAAUUUUUUUUGGCCUGCAGGGAUAUUUUGUGUUUAUGUGUCCAAAAAAGGAAUAAAUUGGCAUUCUUGUGCCAAAAGUUGUUUU